AUGCAGAUCCGUCACAGCCCACGUUCGCAUGCUCCGUCCUUGGCGGGCGCAGGGGCGCCGGGAUGGACGACGACGCUGCUCCGUCCGGCACGGGGACCGGGGCGCCGGGUUGGACCGCGUUCACUGCUGGUGCCUUGGGCGCCUCGCUCGGAGCUGAAAUUUUUGCACCCGAGCGCCUGCAUAAGCCAUGGCGCCACCACGACCACGCCCAAGCAGGCGCGUGCAGUAGCAGGUUCCGAUGUACGGGCCUCGUCGGCCACCACUAGCGCUCGUGUCCAAGGCAAGCUGCUCCUGCAGAGCUCCGUGGACUCGCCCGACGGCCGGCUCAGGCUGUCCGUCCAGCUCGUCAGCGCCACCGUCGCCGGGAGUGAUGGGCGUGGCAUGAGAGGGGAGGCGGCGGCGCUGGACGCCGUCAUAGCGAGCGGAGAGACAGAGCUCGACGUGGAGCUGCCGUGGGACGACGAAGCCCUGGGCGCGCCCGGCGCGGUGCUCGUGACAAACCACUCCGACCUCCCCGUGUACCUGAAGCUGCUGAGCCUGACCUCGCCGGCCGUCCACUUCGUCUGCGACGGAUGGGUCUAUCCCGUCGGGAAGCACCCGUACCGCCUCUUCUUCACCAACGACGCGUACGUGAAGGAAAACACACCGGCGGCGUUGCUCAAGGACAGAGAAGACGAGCUCCGUCAGCUCCGGGGAGAGGGCGUGCCGGCCGACGAGCCGCUCCAGAAAUGGGACCGCGUCUACGACUACGCGCUCUACAACGACCUGGGGAACCCUGACCUACGAAAGGACCUGGCACGCCCGGUGCUGGGAGGGUCGGAAGAGUACCCGUACCCUCGCCGUACCAGGACCAGCCGACCUCCGACCAAGACAGAUCCUGAGAGCGAGGCUAGAGUGCCAGUGGAGCAAGAGGUGUACAUCCCCUGCGACGAGCGGGUCGGCCCCGCGGUCUCAGCGCCCAGCCUUCCAAAACUCGGCGGCCAUUUCAAGUCCUUGGCCGACAUUUACAGCCUCUUUGGACUUGGCCGGCCAACGCUUCUUUACGUAGCCAUCCAGAUUGUGGCUACUCUCUUCCGUAUACUAGAUUCAAACCGUUACACUAUCAAGGAGCUCAUCGACGGCACCGUCAAGCCCGUGCUCUCCCUCCCACAGGUCAUCUCAGCGAAUCCAAAGAAAUGGCGGACAGAUGAAGAAUUCGCUAGGGAAAUGCUCGCAGGGACAAGUCCCGUGGCCAUCAAGCGUGUCACGGAGUUCCCACUCACCAGCAAGCUUGAACGGGCUGUGUAUGGUGACCAAAACAGCAGGAUAACCAAAGAGCACGUUGAGAAGAACAUGGGUGGUAGCAUGGCUGUGCCGCAGGCCAUACAAGAGGGCAAGCUCUACUUUGUGGAUCAUCACGACUGGGUAAUGCCGUACCUGAAGCGCAUCAACGAGCUGCCAGGCGCCGAGGAGAUGGGCGAGAUCUCCCAGAGGAAGGUGUAUGCUGCUAGGACGCUCUUGCUCUUGCAAGACGACUCGACACUCAAGCCGCUGGCGAUCGAGCUCAGCUCGCCGGACCCGGAGGACGAGCGGCACGGCGCCAUCAGCACGGUGUACACUCCGCCGGUGGACAGGGCCGGCGACGAUACCUUCACGGCGUGGGAACUCGCCAAGGCCCACGCGGCCGCCAACGACGCCUGCAAGAACAACUUCGUCCAUCACUGGCUGAACGCGCACGCGACGAUGGAGCCGGUGGUGAUCGCGGCGAACCGGCAGCUCAGCGUGCUACACCCGAUCCACAAGCUACUGAAGCCGCACUUCCGGAAGACCCUGGAGAUCAAUGCCACGGCGCGGCAGAUCAUCUUCGGCGCAGGCGACCGGCGAAAGGGUGGUGGCAUAUAUCGCGGCAUCCACGAGGUUGCCUUCUUCCCCAGCAAGUACGGCAUGGAGAUGUCCUCCAAGGCGUACAGGACAUGGAACUUCACCGACCUUGCUCUCCCCAACGAACUCAUUAAGAGAGGUGUGGCGAGAGGCGAUCCCAAGAAGCCCGAAGAGCUGGAGCUGCUGAUAAAGGACUACCCGUACGCGGUGGACGGGCUGGAGAUCUGGACCGCCAUCAAGGAGUGGGUCACCGACUACUGCGUGAUAUACUACGGCGACGGCGACGGCGCCGUCGCGGGCGACAGCGAGCUGCGGGCGUGGUGGAGCGAGGUGCGAAACGUGGGCCACGGCGACCUGAGCGACGCGCCGUGGUGGCCGGCGAUGGACUGCGUCGACGACCUCGUGGAGACCUGCGCCACCAUCAUCUGGCUCGGCUCCGCCUACCACUCGGCCGUCAGCUUCGGGCAGUACGCCUACAACGGUUUCGUCCCCAACCGCCCCACCAUCACCUCCGGGGAGGUGCCGUCCGACGCAGGUGCGGUGGUGACCGAGGCGGAGUUCCUCGGCCACAUCACCCCGAGGAACGAGGCGUUCGGCCUCAUGGCGCUCACCAUGAGCCCGCCGGUGAAGCCGGGAGAGCCGCUCAUGGGAGAGCGGCCGGACACGGAGCGGUGGACCAGCGAGCAGCGGGCGGCCAAGGCGCUGCUCGAGUUCAACGCCAAGCUGGACGCGGUCGCGGAGGCCAUCAAGAAGAGGAACGCCGACGGCGCGCUAAGGAACCGGAAUGGGCCCGUGGAGGUGCCCUACACGCUGCUCGCGCCGAGGGCCGACCCUGCGGCACCGCACGUCGGCGGGAUCCCCAACAGCAUCGCCGUUUGA
rnacentral:rRNA from 1 species